rnacentral:ncRNA from 1 species
UCCGCUGCGAGGCGGAAUCCGAAGGAAGUCGGAGGCAAACCCACGGCCCGAUGAACAAGAACCUCAUACGAGGCUGCACCGUUCGGAUGAGCUGGCGCAACACAGCGAAAUCCAAGGCUGCCAAGGGGCGGGGGAGUAUAUGAGGCGGGGCGUUCUUACCCGGGGAGGCCUGCCGGA